CUGGUCCCUCAGGAGCCCCGCGGGGGCGCCGCUGCCCUGACCCGGGGAGCCGGCGGCGGGGAGCGGACAGGGAUGGCAAGCCUGCCUGGAAGUCAGCCCAAGGCUGCAAUUCCACAAAAGUGGAACUCUGUGUUGCUGCCACCAUAUCUCUUAUUGACUGUGGAAUCUCUGCUACCAUCAUCAGGAUCUGAGCUCUGGGAGGAGACAGAAAAUGACAGCUUGCUGUUGGCUGGACCCUAGGCAUGGCUAUAAUGUGGGGUACAUACAGUUUUCAGAACUCUUGUAUUGGAAAGCUCGAAGGGUCUGGACUGUCAAUGCGUGUCCUGUUGUCUCUCUGUUUUAAUCAAAGCAAGAUAAAGCUUGACACUCUUUGAACAAGAUGUGGGCAAGGUGAUCCCCAGGAUUGGCUGCAGCUAGAGCCUCCUGCUGUUAAUGCUGUAUCUUGUUCCACUGGACACCAAGUCCAUUCUUGUCCACAUGCACACUAGCCAUCUCUUCUCAUGACAUCCAGGUCUUCAUGCCCCAGUCAGGUACAGAAACAAAACAGCUGCUAAAGGAGAUAAUUCCUCGCUUUGGGUUGCCGGAUUCUAUCCAGAGUGAUAAUGGGCCAGCAUUUGUCUCUGAUGUUACUCAUGCAGUAAGCAGUGCGUUACAGAUCAACUGGAAAUUGCAUGCUGCUUGGAGACCGCAGUCUUCUGGGCAAACAGAAAAGAUGAACCACACCUUGAAGAAAACCUUGGCGAAACUGUGCCAAGAAACACAGCUUCGUUGGGACCAGGUACUAUCCCUUGCCCUCCUCCGCAUAAGAGUGGCACCUAGAAGUGGGCUACAAUUAAGCCCCUUUGAAAUUGUGUUUGGAAGACCCUUCCAGGCCUCAGUUCUGAAAGCCAGUCCGGAAAUAGCUCAAGAUUGCCGGAUCACACAAUAUGUGAAACACAUCCAGGAGGUUCUGACAGUAAUUCAUAACUUCGCAACCUCGAGAAUCUCUAUGCCUCCUGAUCAACCAUUGCAUCCCUUCAAACCUGGAGAUCAGGUCUUACUGAAGACCUGGCAGAGUGGGGAUGCCCAAAACCAGUUGUCAGAAAAAUGGACUGGUCCAUAUGAUGUUUUGCUAAGCACACAUACUUCUCUGAAACUUGCAGGAAUAAAACCCUGGGUACAUCAUUCCAGAGUUAAAAAAGCGCCAGAAGGAACGGACCCAGAGACGAAGUCCCAUUGGUCUUGUGAACCCAUUGAAGACUUGAGAUAUUUAUUUAAGAAACAGAAAGAAACUUGAAUGUUACUGACUUCUUUUUCCAGUUAUUGUUGCAGGAUACCCAAGAACUCGUUUUUUUUUUUUUUCUGAAGAAACCCUGAGAAGAAAAAAACUACCAUGCUCUAACCAAUCUCUUUCCUUGCAAAGUUUAGGAGAUGUGAAAUGACAUCUAGGAUCAUGCAUAUGCUGACAGUAUUUUUUUUCUUUCAUACAAAGGUUUUUAAUCUUGAUUUUGUUAUUUCCUAUCAACUUUUGUUUUUUUUUUUUUUUCUUUGAAGUUUUUUUGUUAACCCUGCUUGUUUUUUUAUUAUUACUUUGGCCUAUCAGACAAACUGCAGUUGUAUGGGAUAUCCCACGCGUGAUGAAUGGUAACUAAAGAGCUCUUUGUGUCUGUAUGUUGUCUGUCUGUAUGUCUUUGUGUCUAACCGUCUUGACCUCCAGUGAUCGACAAAUUGGUAUACUUGGUGCCCGUAUAAGUUGAAAAAAAGAGUCUCCAGUUAUGAGAAAAACAAAAAGUUAUGGUUUGAUUGUCAACAUUGUGCUACUGAACUAAGCCGGUGCCUUCAUAGAGAUUGAAUAUUGUUGUUUCUGUUACUUUUCUGAUAUUUAUGGCAAAGCUUCCCAGAAAUCUAAAUUCAAGUACAAAUUUGGUGGCCUGUCAUUUGACUGAUGCAAGGAAAUUUUGUGGAACCUCAGUAGAGCUCCUGAGACACUCCACGAAGUUUCUCCUUUUCCUCCUGGGAAAGCAUUACAUGAAUUUGUUCUAUUUGGCUUUUUACCUAAUGACGUAAAACUGGAAGGGAAGCAUUGUCACUUGGGAAAAUGGUAAAAAACUUUGGUAUGUCCAAUAUGUUAACAGUAGUAUCGGGUAUGUAUGUAAAUUGUCAGUGGUGAUUGUCACCUUGUAAUAUUGUAUAAUUCAAUUGUUUCACAUCUACAGAAAUUGUUUCUGGAAAUAUAGGGAGAAAAGGUCUCAACAGAUUCCUAUUGAUGGAACUGUUGAGAGUAAAACUUUCUUACAAAGGACUCAAUAGACCUGGAAAUACACCUGACAUUUACUAAGGUUUCUUUGACAUAAUACUGGAACUUUUUUUUUUAUGCAUUCUGUCCUGAAUCCACGAAGUUUUUGUUUUGUUUUGUUUUGUUUUGACUAACCAGGAUCUGCAGAAAGGUUGUAAUUUUUUUCCAGCAAAGCUAACUUGUCACAUUUUCUCUCCCCUUGAUACCAACACAGCAUACAAAUAGUGGUAGUAAUUUUUGCUACUUAUUUCAGAGUCUGUUUUUGCAUAACUUCCAUAGGGAUUUUGUCUGUUUUAACGAAAAUUGGACGUGAGUUUGAUUGUGUGGCUUUGUGUGGAGUUCUUCCAGAAAGUUGAAAAAGAGCUGAACCAAGAAGAGGAGAACCUGUUUGCCUUGUUUGUAGGGUUCCAGAGACCUCCAAAGAAGGUGAGGAAGCUUGCCUCCAUUGGCAGGACUGGACAACCCGGCCAACGAAAAUGCCCUGGUACCCUCGAGAAGAGGAAGCCCAGGUGGAGUCUGAUGACACUAACUUUGUACCUGAAGCCUACAUCGACCGGAUGCCAAUGGUUCGCUCUGAUCCAAUAUGGAGUAUUUCAACAAAGCCAGCUAAAAUUGCUGCUUAGUUAUUCUGCCCUGUAAUUUUAUGCAAAAAUGGGAAAAAUGGUUUAAAGAUAGAUUUAAUUUGCAAACUUUUGCUAUGCUGUUAAAGUUUGGGAUCAAGGUUGAAAGAAUUCGUUUUUGCAUAAGUUAAACCAUUUUAACAUUUUUUCCCUGUGAUUUGAUAUAUUUGCUAUCUUGUUUUAGCCAAUGCUCCAACUUUUUUUCUUUUGGCUAGGAUAAUGGACUAUUUUUAAGUAAUGAAACUGUCAUACUGGACAUUCAUGGACAAUGCUGCUGACUAAUUGUUGCUUCUCUUACACACAUUAUAACCCUGAAAAAAAGACUGUCUCCUAAGAUUGCACCAUGAGAUCUCUGCCACCAUAGAUAUGGUGGAAUAAAAAUUAAAAGGGGGGAUUGUAACAGGGUGGUCCCCAGGAAA